UGGAUUAUCUACCCUGAGGUGGGGGAUAACCCGGGGAAACUCGGGCUAAUACCGCAUGACAUCGAGAGAUCAAAGGGGCCGCAAGGCUCUCGCCAUGGGAGGAGUCCGCGUACGAUUAGCUAGUUGGUAGGGUAAUGGCCUACCAAGGCGACGAUCGUUAGCCGGCCUGAGAGGGUGAUCGGCCACACUGGAACUGAGACACGGCCCAGACUCCUACGGGAGGCAG
rnacentral:rRNA from 1 species